rnacentral:rRNA from 1 species
CAGCCGCCGCGGUAAUACCGGCGGCCCGAGUGGCGGUCACUAUUAUUGGGCUUAAAGCGUCCGUAGCCGGGUUGGGAAAUCCUCCGGGAAAUCUGGCCGCUUAACGGUCAGAAUGCCGGAGGAUACUCCCAGCCUAGGGAGCGGGAGAGGCCGAGGGGAUUCCCGGGGUAGGGGUGAAAUCCUAUAAUCCCGGGAGGACCACCUGUGGCGAAGGCGCUCGGCUGGAACGCGUCCGACGGUGAGGGACGAAGGCCAGGGGAGCAAACCGGAUUAGAUACCCGGGUAGUCCUGGCUGUAAACGAUGCGGACUUUGUGUCGGACAAGCUAUGAGCUUGUCCGGUGCCGGAGGGAAACCGUUAAGUCCGCCGCCUGGGGAGUACGGCCGCAAGGCUGAAACUUAAAGGAAUUGGCGGG